GGUGACGAGCGUCAGCAGCAGGCCCUGGCCGGCUGACCGGCAACCCUCCCUCGCGGCGGGGUGCCCCAGGUGACCACCCGGCGGGGUGAGAGUCCCCGCAAGCGCGAUCC
rnacentral:ncRNA from 2 species